CCACCGAGCCCAGGCCCCCUCCCUCGCCACCGGCCCCACGCACCGGCAGGACCAGGGCCAACACCAUCCAGUCCACCAGGUUCGGGGACGUGUCCAAGGAGAUCAAGCGGGUGCGGAAGCAGAUGGAGGAGGACGAGCAGCUGGCCUCCCUCAUGCGCGGCCUCCACGGCCAGAACCUCCGCGACGACAAGGCUGCAUGUGAAAGAAAGCGAACUUGAGCCAAGGUGAUGGUGAUGGAAAUGAAUGAAAGAAAGAGAAGCUGGAUGCCUACCACAAAGAUGAGCAGAGAGCAGGGGAGUUCACUGGAAUGGAGCCGCUGGUGGCCUGGCCGUAGCCGUGGAGGAGGUGGGG